AUUCCAUAAUCACAGCGGGCGAGAGCGGAGACUGGGAGCGAAAAAUCCGGGAUCCGGCAACUUUGGGCAGCGCAUGCGCGCCCGCGGCGCUCCAUCCCAAACACACACACAUUUUUCCCCCGGACUUGGAAAGUCACCCAAAGCCGCCCCAAGUGCAGGCAAACAGACCUCGCUGACCGAAGGCAAAGACCCCUUCCAUCCCACCUGCCCUUCUAGCCGCCACGGUUGUCAACCUCUGCUGUAGAAGGGAAUCCUGCAGCUCAAUCAUUGGAGUGGACUUCGGACCCCGGCCUCUUGGGAUGCAAAGGAUGAAGUAACGCCCCUACUCUGAGAGAGGAGCCUCUAGGACCCACGACGAGGCUUGAGGAACCUCAGGGCCACCGGGCCUCGGCCCCAGGCAGCGCGGUGUCAGAGGUGACCGGUGGAACGCCAGUGUUAUGUAAAUAGCGGGACCUGCCCGGCGGGCAAGCUGGCUGGCUGAAGCCAUCCAUCAUCCCAGCUCGGCGGGGCGGGGGACAGACACGGCACCGUGCGCCUGACUCCAAACCUGUUUGUUUUCCCUUUGUCUCACGCGGUUCGGGCCUGGCUGUGACCGGCUCCGGGUUUUGUCCUGCCGGCCCCCUCCCCCGGGAGGACGGGGGGAAGGGAGGAGAUUCGCGGCUCCCACCGCGGCAUCCCUUUGGGACUUCAAAGGCUCCCCCAGCAUUGUCUGUGCCUGCGGGCAGUGGCCCUGAAAACGUGAUCAGAGGCGGCCAGUGUAGGGCAGGCCCGGCCCGCGCCCUGCGCUCUCGCUGGGGCCCGUAGAUUCCUCCCUUUGCCGCCAGCUCCACCCUGGUUACAGCUCCGCUCCCCGGGCCUCUGUCCUUGCCUUCCUCUCCCCUGGCGUCCCUUCUGGCCCGCCUGGCCCACUGCUGCCCAUCCCAUCCCCUUGGCGUCGGCGGCAGGACACCUCUGGGUGGCGUUGAGAGCCCUAGGACGCGGAGAGCUCCGGGUCAGCCCCGCCGGCCCCUUCGUAUCCUCAUGAGGAUUGCACGCCAAGUGAAGGGCUUCCAGGCAGGCUAGGUGCUGGGCCAGUUCCUGGACAGGGGCUGCCCGUACCAGCGCUUGUUCUCUUUUUUUUAUCCAUCCUCUGCUGGUAACAAGAGCCUCUGCCCAGCCCUCCCUCCGCUUCUUGGCAAGGUCCAGAUUGGACACUCUGUCCCCAGGCGGCAGGACGGCAUCCUGGGUAUUCAAAGUCAGCCCUAGGUGCUUCCGUUCUCUGGAAGCCCACUGCCUAUUUUUGUAAAUAAAGUUUUAUUGGAACAUCA